rnacentral:rRNA from 1 species
AUUGAACGCUGGCGGCAGGCCUAACACAUGCAAGUCGAACGAGUGGCGGACGGGUGAGUAAUGUCUGGGAAACUGCCUGAUGGAGGGGGAUAACUACUGGAAACGGUAGCUAAUACCGCAUACCAUCGGAUGUGCCCAGAUGGGAUUAGCUAGUAGGUGGGGUAAAGGCUCACCUAGGCGACGAUCCCUAGCUGGUCUGAGAGGAUGACCAGCCAAACUGGAACUGAGCCAAGGUCAAGACUCCUACGGGAGGAAGCAGGGGGGAAGAUUGCAAAAUGGGGGCAAGCCUGAUGCAGCCAUGCCGCGUGUAUGAAGAAGGCCUUCGGGUGGGAAAGUACUUUCAGCGGGGAGGCGUUACCCGAAGAAGAAGCACCGGAUAACUCCGUGCCAGCAGCGGGGGUAAUAC